rnacentral:rRNA from 1 species
AUGCCAGUGGUGCGAGUGAUUCAUCCCACACUACGCAAAGCAAUCUCUAUCCAUUCUCAUCUCUGUGUGUGUCUCUAUGUAAACUCGAAUAAUUGUCCCAAGGAUAUAUGGAUGCAUACAUACACAAUCACAUGGACCAAGGCCCCUGCUUUGAUCUCUCUUUCCUUGAGAAAAUGUAUACAUCUUUCUUUCUUUAUCGGAAAAAAAGGGAUUGCAUACUUGGAUAUGGACCAAGGGAGAGUUUGUGUGGCGGGAUCAGCUGCUAGUAAAUGGGAAAAAGAGCGCCAUUCCAACAACAAAAAUGAGAAAAGAGCAUCGAGGAAGUGA